rnacentral:rRNA from 1 species
UACGUAGGUGGCAAGCGUUGUCCGGAUUUACUGGGCGUAAAGAGCGCGCAGGCGGUCAGAUAAGUCGAAUGUGAAAGCCCCCGGCUCAACUGGGGAGGGUCAUUCGAUACUGUUCGACUCGAAGGCAGGAGAGGGAAGCGGAAUUCCCGGUGUAGUGGUGAAAUGCGUAGAUAUCGGGAGGAACACCAGUGGCGAAGGCGGCUUCCUGGCCUGUUCUUGACGCUGAGGAGCGAAAGCGUGGGGAGCGAACAGG